GAACCUGACAUGCUGGGCAACAGGCAGAAUGGGGAUGGUACAAUGAGCUUGCACAGAUUAUACCGUAUUUCAUAUUUUCCUCACUCCGCACGAGAAGCCGAGGGAAUCUCACACUGCACAUUCAGCUCACGUUCCGGAGUUUGAAAUGUAGGGAUCCAGAGUUUGGGGCCAGCCCAUUAGAAAGUCAGGGCUGUCUGCCACGUUCAGAUGAGAUCAGUGUUUGGCUUCCGAAUAGCCCCAGAGUUCUGCAGGCCUUCAGCUCCAGAGUUCUGUAAAUAGAAGAGGGACGGAGGGCACAGGGGACAGAAAACGGGAAAAAGAGGAAGAAAAAGUCACUGUCUGUGCAUUGACAAGACGUGGAGAAAAGUGUGGAGAAGAAGAAAAUGCUGAGAGAGUAAUUUUGAUCCAAAGGACAAAGGGCGAAAGGAAGGAAAGGAGAAUUUGGUUGGAAAACACAAAGGAUCGAUGGGAGCAGGAAAACUGCAUCAGCAACUCAGCUAGCAAACAAUUGUCAGUAUUAUGGUGAACUGUAUUCUGAAUGGCCAUCUGCCCUCUGGCAGAGGAAUGGCAACAGGAAACUUGGAGAAUGUUCUCAGCAUCAUUUCCCUAUUGGAUGACUUGAAAUAAUGAAAGAGAAUCUGUGUGUGUGUGUGUGUCCGUCCUUUUGACUUAUUUUUGUAACAUUCUAUUCUUUACAUUGAAAAUCCAGUAAAGGUUCCACUGCUUUUUCAUAUAUUUCCCUGACAUCAGUCCUAGCAGGUAAAGACGUCAUUUUUAAAACAAGAAAAACGAUUCAAAGCAAUUUUUAAUUUUGUUCUGACCAGUCCUAUCAAACUGUACAAAGUUUA
rnacentral:lncRNA from 1 species